rnacentral:rRNA from 1 species
AUUGAACGCUGGCGGCAGGCUUAACACAUGCAAGUCGAGCGGAUGACGGGAGCUUGCUCCUUGAUUCAGCGGCGGACGGGUGAGUAAUGCCUAGGAAUCUGCCUGGUAGUGGGGGACAACGUUUCGAAAGGAACGCUAAUACCGCAUACGUCCUACGGGAGAAAGCAGGGGACCUUCGGGCCUUGCGCUAUCAGAUGAGCCUAGGUCGGAUUAGCUAGUUGGCGGGGUAAUGGCUCACCAAGGCGACGAUCCGUAACUGGUCUGAGAGGAUGAUCAGUCACACUGGAACUGAGACACGGUCCAGACUCCUACGGGAGGCAGCAGUGGGGAAUAUUGGACAAUGGGCGAAAGCCUGAUCCAGCCAUGCCGCGUGUGUGAAGAAGGUCUUCGGAUUGUAAAGCACUUUAAGUUGGGAGGAAGGGCAGUAAGUUAAUACCUUGCUGUUUUGACGUUACCGACAGAAUAAGCACCGGCUAACUCUGUGCCAGCCGCCGCUGUAA